GGCAUUCUUCGUACACACGGCAUGGCUGGAUCAGAGUCUCCUCCAUUGUCCAAUAUUCCUCACUACUGCCUACAGUAGGAGUCUGGUCCGUGUCUCAGUACCAGUGUGGGGGAUCUCCCUCUCAGGACCCCUACCUAUCGCUGUCUUGGUAAGCCGUUACCUUACCAACUAACUAAUAGGACGCAUAGCCAUCUUUUACCGAUAAAUCUUUAAUUAUAAACUGAUGCCAGUCUACAAUACCAUGAGGCAUUAAUCUUCAUUUCUAAAGGCUAUUCCUCUGUAAAAGGUAGGUUCUAUACGCGUUACGCACCCGUGCGCCGGUCGUCAUCUGUGCAAGCACAAUGUUACCCCUCGACUUGCAUGUGUUAAGCCUGCCGCUAGCGUUCAUCCUGAGCCAGGAUCAAACUCU
rnacentral:rRNA from 1 species